UUUGGUUAAGUUAGAAAAGGGCGCACGGUGGAUGCCUUGACACUAGGGAGUCGAUGAAGGACGGGACUAACGCCGAUAUGCUUCGGGGAGCUGGAAGUAAGGGCUUUGAUCCGAAGAUUUUUUUUCGAAUGGGGGAAAACCCACCCAUUACUAAUGGUUAUGGUAUCCUUAUCUGAAUUACAUAGGGUAAGGAAGACAGACCCAGGGAACUGAAACAUCUAAGUACCUGGAGAAGAGCAGAAAAGCAAAUGCGAUUUCCUUGAGUAGCGGCGAGCGAACGAACAUAGCCCAAAACCAAGAGGCUUGCCUCUUGGGGUUGUAGGACAUUCUAUACGGAGUUACAAGAACAGGUAGACGAAGCGACCUUGGAAAGUCCGUCGUAGAGGGUAACAACCCGUUAGUGAAACUUCGGUUCUCUCUUGAAUGUAUCCUGAGUACGGCGGAAACCACGUUGAAAUUCCGUCGGAAUCUGGGAGGAGCCAUCUCCAGGCAAAAAAGUGACUCCCUAGGUUGAUCGAUUAGGGUGAACCAGUACCGUGAGGAAAAGUUGAAAAAGCACCCCGGAAGGGGAGUGGAAAGAGAUCCUGAAACCGUGUGCCUACAAUAGUCAGGAGCCCGUUUAACGGGGUUGAUGGCGUGCCUUUUGUAGAAUGAACCGGCGAGUUACGAUCCCGUGCGAGGUUAAGCUGAAGAGGCGGAGCCGCAGCGAAAGCGAGUCGAAUAGCGGCGCUUUAGGUACGUGGUUCGUAGACCCGAAACCCAGGUAUCUACCCAAAAUGUCCAGGGUGCAGUUUCAGGUAACCACUGAAUGGAGCCCGAACCCAGCACGUUGAAAAGUGCGGGGGAUGAAAGUGCGGGAUGAGGUGGGGUUAGCGGAGAAAUUUCCAAGCGAACCUGGAGAUAGCUGGUCUCCCCGAAAUAGCUAGGCUAGCCUUAAGUGUAAGAGUCUUGGAGGUAGAGCACUGACUUGGACUAUGGGGUCCUCAUCGGAUACCGAAUUCAGUCAAAAUCCGAAUGCAAUGACUUAGCCUUUAGGAGUCAGACGCGGAGUAUAAGAUCCGUAGCAAAAGGGAAACAGCCCAGACCGCAAGCUAAGUCCCAAAGUUGGGUAUUAAGUGGAAAAAGGAUGUGGAGUUGCUUAGGACAACUAGGAUGUUGCUUAGAAGCAGGCCACCUUAAAGAGUGCGUAAAGCGAUCAUAGUCGAGUGACUCUGCGCCGAAAAUGAUACCGGGCUAAAUACCACCACCGAAGCUGCGGAUUAUACCAAUGGUAUCAGUGGUAGGGGAGCGUGCUAAGGGACAGUGAAGUCAGACGUAAGACUGGUGGAGUGCUUUAAGAAGUGAGAAUGCCGGUAUAGUAGGAAGACGGGUUGAGAAAUCCCGUCCACCGAAUGCCGUAGGUUUUCCUGAGGAAGCUCGUCCGCUCAGGGUUAGGUCAGGGGACCUAAGCCGAGGCGACAGGCUAGGCGAUGGACAACAGCGUUGAUAUUCCUGUUACCACCUUUUAUCGUUUGAGCAUGGAGGGACGCAGAAGAUAGAAGAAGGUGGCGAUUGCGUGUGCACGUCAACCAGUUAAGCUGAUGUAGCAAAUCCGCUUAUUCGUAAAGGGCUGAGCUGUUGAUGGAAGCUCCUUAUGGAGCGAAGUCUUUGAUUCCCCGCUGCAAGAAAAGUUCUAGCAAUCAAAAGGUGCCUGUACCGCAAACCGACACAGGUAGGCGAGGAGAGAACUUCCUAAGGUGGCGAGAGAACUCUGGGUUAAGGAAACUCGGCAAAAUGACCCCGUAACGUCGGGAGAAGGGGUGCUUUCUUAACGGAAGCCGACAAGAAGGCAAAAGAACAUAGGGGUAGCAAGAAGCAAUUAUGCAGAAAGAAAAACGAGACAAAGAGCAAAACAAAGGAGAGCAUAAGAACAAAUAUGGAAGAACAGCAGUGAAUAGGCCAAGCGACUGGUUAGCAAAAACACAGCUCAUCUGCGAAGCCGUAAGCGAAGUUAUAGGGGUGACACCUGCCCGGUGUUGGAAGGUUUAAGGAGAGGGGUUUAGCGUAAGCGAAGCUCUGAACUGAAGCCCCAGUAACGGCGCCUAACUAUAACGGGUCCUAAGGUAGCGAAUUCCUUGUCGGUAAGUUCCGACCCGCACGAAAAGGUGUAAACGAUGUGGGCACUGUCUCAACCAGAGACUUCGUGGAAAUUAUAGUACCUGUGAAGAUUGCAGGUUACCCGCGACAGGACGGAAAGACCCCUGGAGCUUCGACUGUAGCUUUGAUAUUGAAUUUUGCGUAACAGUUUGUACGGAUAGCGGGAGCAUUGAAACCGCGACGCUAAGCUUCGGUGGAGCGCUGGUGGAUACCGCCCUGACUGUAUUUGAAAUUUCAACUACGGGUUCUUAUCGACCCGGGGAACAGUGUAGGUAGGGCAGUUUGACUGGGGCGGUCGCCUCCCUAAAGUGUACGAGCGCCCAAAGGCGUUCUCCUCAGAAAUGGUUGGAAAUCAUUCGCUUAGAGUGCAAAGGAUAAGGAGCUUGACUGCGAGCCUACAAGUCGAGCAGGACGAAAGUCGGGUUAGUGAUCCGGUGCGUCCGCAUGAUAGGGCCAUCGCUCAACGGAUAAAAAGCUACCCCCGGGGAUAAACAGGCUUAUCUCCCAAGAGUCCACAUCGACGGGAGUUUGGCACCUCGAUGUCGGCUCAUCGCAUCCUGGGGUGUAGUCGGUCCCAAGGGUUGGCUGUUCGCCCAUUAAAGCGGUACGCGAUGGGUUCAGAAACGUCGUGAGACAGUUCGGUCCCUAUCCGUCGUGGGCGUAGGAAAUUUGAGAGAGCUGUUUCGUUCCUCUAGUACGAGAGGACCGGAGGGACGCACGCUGGUGUACCAGUUGUUCUGCCAAGGGCAUAGCUGGGUAGCUAUGUGCGGAAGGAUAAGUGCUGAAAGAUCUAAGCAUUGAGAGCCCCCCGCAAGAUGAGAUUUCCCAUAGGUUAAGCUAGUAAGAUCCUGAAAGAUGAUUCAGAAGUCGAGGUGGAAGCAUGGUUGACAUGUGGAGCUGACGAAUACUAAUGAUCGAGGACGUAACCAU
rnacentral:rRNA from 1 species